UUUCCCUUCGUAUAGAUACCAAGUAAUAUGUUUGAGGGUCUGGAUUUUUUCUGUGAGAUGACCAUCAUCUAUAAAACCCCAAUGGAGAUGCUGGAGCUCAGUACCCACACAAAAGGCUGGCCAUGGAGACACCUGAUGAUAAACCCAGAGAUGGUGGAGAGAAAGAAGAAAGGAGAAUCCAGAGGCCUUGCUGGCCCCGACC